CAGGCCUAACACAUGCAAGUCGAGCGGUAGCAGGUCCUUCGGGAUGCUGACGAGCGGCGGACGGGUGAGUAAUGCAUAGGAAUCUGCCCGACAGUGGGGGAUAACCUGGGGAAACCCAGGCUAAUACCGCAUACGUCCUACGGGAGAAAGGGGGCUUUGGCUCCCGCUAUUGGAUGAGCCUAUGUCGGAUUAGCUAGUUGGUGAGGUAAUGGCUCACCAAGGCAACGAUCCGUAGCUGGUCUGAGAGGAUGAUCAGCCACAUCGGGACUGAGACACGGCCCGAACUCCUACGGGAGGCAGCAGUGGGGAAUAUUGGACAAUGGGGGCAACCCUGAUCCAGCCAUGCCGCGUGUGUGAAGAAGGCCCUCGGGUUGUAAAGCACUUUCAGCGAGGAAGAACGCCUGUCGGUUAAUACCCGGCAGGAAAGACAUCACUCGCAGAAGAAGCACCGGCUAACUCCGUGCCAGCAGCCGCGGUAAUACGGAGGGUGCAAGCGUUAAUCGGAAUUACUGGGCGUAAAGCGCGCGUAGGUGGCUUGAUAAGCCGGUUGUGAAAGCCCCGGGCUCAACCUGGGAACGGCAUCCGGAACUGUCAAGCUAGAGUACAGGAGAGGAAGGUAGAAUUCCCGGUGUAGCGGUGAAAUGCGUAGAGAUCGGGAGGAAUACCAGUGGCGAAGGCGGCCUUCUGGACUGAUACUGACACUGAGGUGCGAAAGCGUGGGUAGCAAACAGGAUUAGAUACCCUGGUAGUCCACGCCGUAAACGAUGUCGACCAGCCGUUGGGUGCCUAGCGCACUUUGUGGCGAAGUUAAUGCGAUAAGUCGACCGCCUGGGGAGUCGGCCGCAAGGUUAAAAC
rnacentral:rRNA from 1 species